AUUGAACGCUAGCGGCAUGCUUUACACAUGCAAGUCGAACGAGUGGCGGACGGGUGAGUAAUAUAUCGGCACGUGCCCAAUAGAGGGGGAUAACUACUCGAAAGAGGGCUAAUACCGCAUACCAUGCGAUCGGCCGACAUCGGAUUAGCUAGUUGGUGGGGUAAAGGCUCACCAAGGCAACGAUCCGUAGCUGGUCUGAGAGGAUGACCGGCCACACUGGGACUGAGACACGGCCCAGACUCCUACGGGAGGCAGCAGUGGGGAAUAUUGGGCAAUGGGGGAAAGCCUGAUCCAGCCAUGCCGCGUGUAUGAAGAAGGCCUUCGGGUUGUAAAGUACUUUUGGCAGAGAAGCGGUAUCUACAGAAUAAGCACCGGCUAACUACGUGCCAGCAGCCGCGGUAAUUC
rnacentral:rRNA from 1 species